UACGUAGGUGGCAAGCGUUGUCCGGAUUUAUUGGGCGUAAAGCGAGCGCAGGCGGUUCCUUAAGUCUGAUGUGAAAGCCCACGGCUCAACCGUGGAAGGUCAUUGGAAACUGGGGAACUUGAGUGCAGAAGAGGAGAGUGGAAUUCCAUGUGUAGCGGUGAAAUGCGUAGAUAUAUGGAGGAACACCAGUGGUGAAGGCGACUCUCUGGUCUGUAACUGACGCUGAGGCUCGAAAGCGUGGGGAGCAAACAGGAUUAGAUA
rnacentral:rRNA from 1 species